AAAAAGCUCUGUAACAUAUUUCUUCCCCUUCUCUGUUCUUCCUUAGGUCCUUUUACAGUUGGCUACAAAGCUCGCCAAACGACUCUGAUAAAGUUACACAAAGAUGGAGAACACACCUCCAACACCCCAUUUGGAAACUGCAGGAACUUCUACCGGAAUCACACAUAAAAGAAAAAGAGGACGCCCACCCGGAUCACGCAACAAACCCAAAG